GUAGGGUAAGUGGGAGUUAGCCAACUGACCAUAAGACAAAAAAAGGGAGGAAGAGAAGGAGGAGGGGAUGAUAGUCUCAAGCAGCCUGAAGAGAGCUAAGGGUGGGGUGGAAGGCAAGAAUUAGGACAGCAGACAAACAGGAUGCAUUAAAAGAACUACAAGGAACUGGGCAUGGAUGGAGCAUAGAAUGCAUUUGGGAAGGAGAAGCUGUAGAAUUAGGCAAAGGCCCUAGAAGCAAGGUUUUUAAAGCCAUGGUGGGUGAGAGCUUGAACUUUAAGAGCAGGAGUAUUUUAAGCAGUGGGAGUUUCCACUGUAGCGUUUUAAGCAGUGGGAGUGACAUAUUUGUGCUUGCAUUUAAGAAAAUCCUUUUAGGAAGUGUAACAAAGAGAAGCUGAUUCAGGUGGGCCUAACAGACAUUUGCAACUGAGACCCUGGUGUUUACAAGAAGGAGACAAUAUAAGCAGAGUUCCUCUUUGCGGAUUGAUAUUGAAUGCAGCCUAUUCACAUCUGGGUGUGAUAACUCUAUAAAAUUGCUGCCUAAUUUGGCCUUUCUUAUGACCACAUUCAUGGCCAGGAGUGACCAGCCACAUGUCAAUGGAUGUCAUCACAAAUGCCCAGGGGCUAAACCUGACUUCACAACUUCAAAGACCCAGCUACGAGGAGAUGCAUAGAAGCCUACAGGAUUGGAACAAACAUUCUUGAGAUCCAGCUGUGUGACAGGUCAUGUACUAGAUCCUUUCCUUGUAAGAACCUGUCAAAAAGGAAUUAUUACACCCAUUUUCAAUAUGGAAGACUUGGGCUCAGUGAAGAUCUUCAUAAAUUGUCUAGUAUUCCCUGAUAUCCUAUUAAAUGGUAAUUUUAACAUCAAUGAAUCCUGAUUUAAACAUGAUUUGGAUUCCAAAGGCCAUGCUAUUUCUAAUGCCCCAUUUUGUCUAUACAAUAAAAUAUGGGUUG
rnacentral:lncRNA from 10 species